rnacentral:rRNA from 1 species
UACGUAGGGUGCGAGCGUUAAUCGGAAUUACUGGGCGUAAAGUGUGCGCAGGCGGCAGAGCAAGUCGAGUGUGAAAGCCCCGAGCUUAACUUGGGAAUUGCGCUCGAAACUACUUUGCUGGAGUGUGGCAGAGGAAGGUGGAAUUCCAGGUGUAGCGGUGAAAUGCGUAGAGAUCUGGAGGAACACCGAUGGCGAAGGCAGCCUUCUGGGCCAACACUGACGCUCAUGCACGAAAGCGUGGGGAGCAAACAGG